rnacentral:rRNA from 1 species
UACGUAGGCAGCGAGCGUUGUUCGGAGUUACUGGGCGUAAAGAGUGCGUAGGCGGUUUUCUAAGUUUGGUGUGAAAUCUCCCGGCUUAACUGGGAGGGUGCGCCGAAAACUGGAAGGCUUGAGUAUGGGAGAGGUAAGCGGAAUUCCUGGUGUAGCGGUGAAAUGCGCAGAUAUCAGGAGGAACACCGGUGGCGAAGGCGGGUCUCUGGGCCGUAACUGACGCUGAGGAGCGAAAGCAUGGGGAGCGAACAGG